rnacentral:lncRNA from 1 species
CCAAGUGUGGCAGCCUUAAAGGCGUAGAGGCUAGGAAUGCGGCCCUUCGAUAAUAAUUCAUGCUACGGGAUGCGUUGCUUUUAUUUUCUAGUGAAAAGGCAGCCUUUUAAGCUUGUACUUCAAAUCAGCAGUGUUCUCGGUUGUUUCUUACAGUGCUCACUUAGUACGUUUUUCAACCAUAGACGAGAAGCCUUUGUUUUGAAGUGCCAAAUUUUUUCUCUAGCUGUCAUGUGAUGGCUCUAGGUGUCUGCCCUAUUUACAGUAUAGGUCUUGGAUUGAUGUGCCUCUUGCUAGCUCCUUUAAUUAAGUACAGUCUCCAUUAAGAGAAACCGGUUUCUCUUUCAAUAAUGGCGCAUGAAAUUGUAUGUGAUGUAAAGUAAGUGCCUCAUUGGUAUGAUAUCUUACAGGCUAGUUGCAGGUGAACAGAUGAAGAGUCUAAUGCAGAGUCUGAUACUGUCAACUGUUUGCCGAUGUCUUCCUUGUAAUAGGAAGAGGUAGCUUUGUUAAUCUUGCGGCAACCAUUUUGCAAGUGAAAAAGAGCUCUGCAUGUUCCGUACUUUUAAAUGCUGUUGAAUGUCUGAGGUGAUUUCAGCCAAACGUGAAAAAAGCAUGGAGGAAAGAUCUUUCUGCAAGUGCUCAAAAGAUAUGUCUGGAUGCACUUUGGGAAAUGGCUUGUCAAUCCAGCUGCCACUGUAAUCUGCAGCAGGAGACCUGUAUCAUAAAUUCUGAGACCACUUCAGUCAUAAAGCUACAGGCUUUCAGCAAUGCAGUGUACUGUGGUGCAUGUUCUCUACGGCACAGAAGGAAUUUUACUCCAUAGGUACACUGAAAAUGACAUUUUUUCUCUUUCAAAAUUCCCUGCAGCUGGACCCUCUGUGUGGCUUGGUCCUUCUAGACCCAAUCCCUGAGUUCAUAAUGAUCUAACAGGAAUGUUUUUGAAGGAUGCAGCAAAGUGGGGAGAACUUUUUCUCUGCAAAUGAGAUGGGAGUGGACAGCAAGCUUGAAAUGCCAGAAGACAGUUUUGGCUUGGUUUGUUUUUUUUUUUACGUUUUGUGACUCUACUUCUCCCUUGCCACCACAUGCUUCCAGACACGCUUACCAGCUCAAAGUGAUCAUCUGGCUCCCUUUGCUGCUCUAUUCAAUUUGUAUGGCCUCGGUAGUUCCAGACGAGGAGGGAGAAGCCCCAGAAAGACGUGAUGCUCCACAGCUGAAAAGCACAAGAUAGACGUGUUACUCCUCAGGAGGCCACGAACUGCAGACACUUCCUCUUUAAUAAAUGCUUCCUAGUUGUGUCUACUUCUCUCUGU